rnacentral:rRNA from 1 species
GUUGGAUUUCCAUGACAACCAGGAAGUUGGCUUAGAAGCAGCCAUCUUUUAGAGAAAGCGUAAUAGCUCACUGGUCAAGCGUUCCUGCGCCGAAAAUGAACGGGGCUAAGGUGUUUACCGAAGCUAUGGACUUGUAGAUUUCUAUGAGUGGUAGGGGAGCGUUCCACGGUAGUGAGAAGCAUCAGCGGCAAGCAGGUGUGGACGAAGUGGAAGUGAGAAUGUCGGCUUGAGUAGCGCAAACAUUGGUGAGAAUCC